rnacentral:ncRNA from 1 species
UGAGGGGCCUAAGGGAGCGGAAUACCCUGGCCGUUAAAUGCGGUCUUGCAUGAAUGACUUAACGAUACAACAGCUGUCUCGAUGAUUGUCUCAGUGAAAUUGGAAUAGCAGUGCAGAUACUGUUUACCUCUAGAUAGACGAGAAGACCCUAUGCAGCUUUACUGUUACUAAUUACAAGAGUGGAAAUUUAGGAUAAUUGCGAGUGUAUAAGGUAAUUGAAAGAUAACAAUGAAACAC